rnacentral:rRNA from 1 species
CAGCCGCCACGGUAAUACGAAGGGUGCAAGCGUUACUCGGAAUUACUGGGCGUAAAGCGUGCGUAGGUGGUGGUUUAAGUCCGUUGUGAAAGCCCUGGGCUCAACCUGGGAAUUGCAGUGGAUACUGGGUCACUAGAGUGUGGUAGAGGAUAGUGGAAUUUCCGGUGUAGCAGUGAAAUGCGUAGAGAUCGGAAGGAACAUCUGUGGCGAAGGCGACUAUCUGGGCCAACACUGACACUGAGGCACGAAAGCGUGGGGAGCAAACAGGAUUAGAUACCCCGGUAGUCCUUGUCUCUUAUAC